rfam:Erinaceus europaeus unplaced genomic scaffold scaffold00075, whole genome shotgun sequence
GUGUGAGCUUUGGCAACACAUGCAGUAAAGUCGGAGAAAUACAGAGAAGAUGAGCAUAGCCCCUACACUAAAAUGACACAAAUAUUUAUUAGACAUUCUAUAGUAGA